CAAUAGCGUAUAUUAAAGUUGUUGCAGUUAAAAAGCUCGUAGUUGGAUCUCGGGUCCAGGCUUGUGGUCCACCUCGCGGUGGUUACUGCUCGUCCUGACCUACCUCCCAGUUUUCCCUUGGUGCUCUUGAUUGAGUGUCUCGGGUGGCUGGAACGUUUACUUUGAAAAAAUUAGAGUGUUCAAAGCAGGCAGCUCGCCUGAAUAAUGGUGCAUGGAAUAAUGGAAUAGGACCUCGGUUCUAUUUUGUUGGUUUUCGGAACUUGAGGUAAUGAUUAAGAGGGACAGACGGGGGCAUUCGUAUUACGGUGUUAGAGGUGAAAUUCUUGGAUCGCCGUAAGACGAACUACUGCGAAAGCAUUUGCCAAGAAUGUUUUCAUUAAUCAAGAACGAAAGUCAGAGGUU
rnacentral:rRNA from 2 species